rnacentral:tRNA from 1 species
ACCUCCGUGGCGCAAUGGAUUAGCGCGUUGGACUUCUAAUUCAAAGGUUGUGGGUUCGAGUCCCACCGGAGGUA